rnacentral:lncRNA from 1 species
GUAAAUGUAUGUUAUACUAUAUCAAUGCCAUCAUCGUCCUUGAGAACAUUGGGAAGAACAAAAUACAUAUUUGAUCCUCUUAGAAGAAAUGAAAAAGAUUACAAAAUAUAUGUCCCAUGUAGUCAAGAACUGCAAAUUUUGAAUAAGCUUGUGCUUGUACUCAUCUUUCACUACUAUGUGAUGAGCCAUAAUAACUAACCAUCCUCCAUCACCUCUUGCAAAUCUCUGAACCUCCCAUCCUUGAUGCACUAAACUGACUUUCAACAUGACCAGUUUUGUCCAUCACCACCCCGCUUAGAUGAAAUGGAGACUGAAAAGAACACGAUAUAAGUACAUCAACCAAUCAGAUGUGGCUAUUGACAAUCCAUAAAUCGCGAGUCCUACUGGUGGUAUACAUGAAUAACCAAAUGCCAUUUACAAUUAUCCUGAAGGUGGCUAAAUAGAAGGGUUACUGGUGGUACUAAUUAUUCUGUUGUUAGUAGAAAAUCCUUUUGGAGAUCAUGGAUGACUAACACGAUGUUGCAAUCAAUAUAGGCUGGCGUAUAUGGAAAAUCAAAGGUAAAAAUGACUCGUUAAGUUAGGGAUACAUAAAAUAAUAUUGUAAAAGGUGAUAAAAAAUCCGCAGCAACUCGCGACCCCACGAACUCGUAUUCGUAGUGAGCAAGUUAGUGAGGCCGCCACGGUAGGCUAGCACCAAGGGACAAACCAAGGGACAAGGGCAACAACCGCCUUCCCAUCCAACCUACUGAUUCUGUUGGCGCUAGUUUCAUCCUAAGCCCAUCAGUACCGCUAGUGUGUUGGCACAUACAGAGAAACUAUGAAUUGAAAUUUUCAUCCAAAGCAUGAAAAAUGUUAAUGUUCCUCUCCUCUCCCAUCCCUCGUGUGAACAUACCCAAUUCGUGGUUGCCUCGCUACAUUCAGCGUACCUCUAAUGUGCAAUGUUGUCUCCUCCAACUCUUAACAAAUUCAUUGUAGCUCACAACUGGAUGGGCCUUGUGGGUUGAAGAAAAUCCAAACCUAAAUAGAAGCAACAAAAUGAGGACAACUUAUAAGAAAGGGAUAAGCGAGGAAGCACACACCUACAUGCCCAAACAAAAUAUAAGAUGCAACUACACUAUGAUUUACUCAUUAAAGAUAGUUAAAAAAGCACACCAAUCAGUUAAAAGAGGCAUCAUUCCCUGUUCAAGUCUUUAAUGUAAUUUAGGUUUGACAAUAAUAAUGCAAACCUUUACAUUGAAUUUAUGGUAUUGAGACAAAAUAUUAUGCACUAAUAACUGCUAAUUAUAUCCAUCUGUAUUGUAUUAUUAGCAUGCAAAAGCAAAAUCACUCGACUAUACGGAAGCCUCGAGUAACAUCCUCCGGGACUGGACCUUCAAAAAUGAUUACUAUACCAACAAACAUAAGCAUCAAACAGUAAGCUAUUUAGUAAUAGGAUUUUCAUACUAUACCGGUGUUGGGGGUGGGAGAGAAGUAGGGCUCCAGGAGGUAUCCUUUGUGGAGAAACCAUUGGAGUGUUGCCCCAGGUUGGCAUAAUUAGUACUUACACAACUCCUGAUAAAGCACACGAUAAUGUGUAAUCCAAUCCAAUUCAUUUCAUAAUGGGCGGUGGCUCUAUCAAACAAUAUCGUCCCCAUUCCAGGUGUGCCAUAGAGCAGAAGGCACAUGAAUGAGUAUAGUAGUUAGGAGGGCAUCUCAGGAUGGAGAUAACUGUAUCAUUGUAUCCGUGAGCUAACUGCAUAAUAUGGUACUUCAAAGCACAUUUUUCUUGAAACUUCCCUGGUGGCUUAAUACUAACACGAAGAAACGGUUACAGAUAAAGCAGAGG